AUUGAACGCUGGCGGAAUGCUUUACACAUGCAAGUCGAGCGGCAGCACGGGGGCAACCCUGGUGGCGAGCGGCGAACGGGUGAGUAACACAUCGGAACAUGCCCAGUCGUGGGGGAUAACACUUCGAAAGAAGUGCUAAUACCGCAUACGUCCUGAGGGAGAAAGCGGGGGAUCGCAAGACCUCGCGCGAUUGGAGUGGCCGAUGUCAGAUUAGCUAGUUGGUGGGGUAAAGGCCUACCAAGGCAACGAUCUGUAGCUGGUCUGAGAGGAUGAUCAGCCACACUGGGACUGGGACACGGCCCAGACUCCUACGGGAGGCAGCAGUGGGGAAUUUUGGACAAUGGGGGCAACCCUGAUCCAGCCAUUCCGCGUGAGUGAAGAAGGCCUUCGGGUUGUAAAGCUCUUUCGGCAGGAACGAAACGGUGAGCUCUAACAUAGCUUGCUAAUGACGGUACCUGAAAAAGAAGCACCGGCUAACUACGUG
rnacentral:rRNA from 1 species